GCCGAAGUGGUGAAAUUGGUAGACACGCUGCGUUCAGGGCGCAGUGGAGCUUGCUCCGUGGAGGUUCGAGUCCUCUCUUCGGCACCA
rnacentral:tRNA from 1 species